UUGGAUGCCCUCGUUUUGUAGAUGCCUCUUUAUUUGUGCUGCUUAAAAGUAUUUUAACUAGUAUAGAGCAAAACAUUUAUUAUCUUUCAGUUGCAGCCCUAUUUACUAGAAUCCCAGAUUAGUGACUAGCCCCCUAAACCGCACAGCCACUAAUCCACUUCAACGGUUCCUCUGCCUCUGUUGAUGUUGGGUGCUUUCAGCCCCUAGUGAAUUCUGCCUCUUUAAUCUUGUUUGGUGCUGAUUUUUUUCUGCCAUUAGCUCUUUGGAUUGGAAUGUGGUUGCCUCAUAUUUUUUGGUCAUACUCUUUAAAGACAAGCAAAUAAACUUGGAGAGGGUAAGUAAGGUGACACAGGAGAUCUGAGAUAGAACUAGGACUUUUGCCAUUGAUCCUUGUCAUCAAAAGCACUCAUUAUUAACCUUAUCGUCAUUCUGUGGCAGGGUGUUUGAACAGCACAGGUUGAUUUAGAGAUGACUCAGGACAAUGUCAUUCUCUCCAGUUCUUUUAGCAAACAGCUGACCUAAGAAUAAAACUUAAGCAUCCAGAAUACCAUAAGAACACAGUCCAUAUUCAUAUUUAAGUUCAUCUGCAGCAUUUUUAUCACUUUUAGCUACAAUCAGGAUGCCUUUGAAGAAGUUAUUGUCCAACAGAUUUCCAUUUAAAGGAAAGGAUGUUUGUCAUGAAGGAAUUGAUUCAACAGAAAAACUACAGGAGACCCCAAAUUGAAAUCAGCAAGAGACCUUUAAAUUGCACAGAAUCAAAUUUCUAAAAACAUAAUUCUACCUGUAUUGUUGAAAAUAGAGCUCAAAAAUCCAUUAGCUCUUUGCAUUUUCCCCCAUUUUUGUAAUUAUUGUUAUCGCUUCCUCUAUUGUGAAGUCUCUAUUAUGUGAAUCCCAUUGAGGGCUGCCUUUCCAUCACCAUCAGCUCAUUGGUGCUGUCAACAUAGAGCUCCCAGGAGGCCUCACUGAGAAUCUGCUGGAAAAGAAGGGAAAUGUGAGCUUGAGGAGUCUUGCUAGCAGUGAGUGUUGCCAUGCCCACUGGAGCUAUGCUUAACCUAAAGAUUUCAGGACUCUUUUGACCUACAAAAACAUCUCGAGCAGAACACUCAGGUUUUGCUAUCUUUUUCACACUUUUUUCCCCCAGGAACAUGACCAGCCACAUUUUAAUGGCCACAGAGAAAAUAAAAUCUUUUCC
rnacentral:lncRNA from 1 species